rnacentral:rRNA from 1 species
UACGUAGGGUGCAAGCGUUGUCCGGAAUUAUUGGGCGUAAAGAGCUCGUAGGCGGUCUGUCGCGUCUGCUGUGAAAACUCAGGGCUUAACCCUGAGCUUGCAGUGGGUACGGGCAGACUAGAGUGCGGUAGGGGAGACUGGAAUUCCUGGUGUAGCGGUGAAAUGCGCAGAUAUCAGGAGGAACACCGGUGGCGAAGGCGGGUCUCUGGGCCAUUACUGACGCUGAGGAGCGAAAGCGUGGGGAGCGAACAGG